GCUUCUGGUUUAGUCUAGUUAAUUCUAUCUUCCUAUAAACCCUAGGUAUCAUCAACCUUUAAAACUUGUACAAGUUGUUCCCUGCUGCACUGCCAUUCCCUAAACCUUAUUCUCUGCAGGCUUCGUUUUGUUGAAGGUGGUGGUCGUACGUAUAGGCUAUAAGAGUAAGUACGUAGCUUAGCUACCAUUAAUGGGACCUGGUGGAGGCCCCCCAGGAGCCCCCGGACCGCCAGGUUUCGGCGGCCCUCCUGGUCCGCCUCCUCUCUUCGGUGGCUUUUUUGAUUUUAUUGGUUCAUGUGUGAGUUUUCUGUGCUGCUGCUGGUUAUUGCAAGACUGCUUUGGUGGGCCACCACCAGGGCCUCCUGCACCCUUCGGCCCGCCUGGACCGCCGCCACCUCCAUGAUAUCAUCAAGCAGGCUUGAGUUUCCAGAAAUCAAUUGUACCGCGCAUAUAUUAGUAGCAAUGCAUGUACAAUAACUUUGGAUUAGAAAGAGACUUGUAAUUCCGAGUCCUGUUCUGCUAAACUCCAAAAUCCAUAUAAAUUGUGAUCAUUCACCGUUCGAUUUAAUUUAAAGAAAACUAAUGAAAAAGAUUUGAAAA